rnacentral:tRNA from 1 species
GGGCAAUUAGCUCAGUUGGUUAGAGCGCCACCUUUACACGGUGGAUGUCGGGGGUUCGAGUCCCUCAUUGCCCACAA